rnacentral:rRNA from 1 species
AACGAACGCUGGCGGCAUGCCUAACACAUGCAAGUCGAACGAGACCUUCGGGUCUAGUGGCGCACGGGUGCGUAACGCGUGGGAACCUGCCCUUAGGUUCGGAAUAACUCCCCGAAAGGGGUGCUAAUACCGGAUAAUGUCUUCGGACCAAAGAUUUAUCGCCUUUGGAUGGGCCCGCGUUGGAUUAGCUAGUUGGUAGGGUAAAAGCCUACCAAGGCGACGAUCCAGAGCUGGUCUGAGAGGAUGAUCAGCCACACUGGGACUGAGACACGGCCCAGACUCGUACGGGAGGCAGCAGUGGGGAAUAUUGGACAAGGGGCGAAAGCCUGAUCCAGCAAUGCCGCGGGAGUGAUGAAGGCCUUAGGGUUGUAAAGCUCUUUUACCCGGGAUGAUAAUGACAGUACCGGGAGAAUAAGCUCCGGCUAACUACGUG